AGAGUUUGAUCAUGGCUCAGAUUGAACGCUGGCGGUAGGCUUAACACAUGCAAGUCGUGCGAGAAAGUAUCUUCGGAUAUGAGUAGAGCGGCGGACGGGUGAGUAACGCGUAGGAAUCUACCUAGUAGAAGGGGAUAGCCCGGGGAAACUCGGAUUAAUACCGUAUACCUCCUUAGGGAGAAAGAGGGCCUCUCUUGAUGCUCUCGCUAUUAGAUGAGCCUGCGUAAGAUUAGCUUGUUGGUGAGGUAAUGGCUCACCAAGGCUACGAUCUUUAGCUGGUCUGAGAGGACGAUCAGCCACAUUGGGACUGAGACACGGCCCAGACUCCUACGGGAGGCAGCAGUGGGGAAUAUUGGACAAUGGGCGCAAGCCUGAUCCAGCCAUACCGCGUGUGUGAAGAAGGCCUUCGGGUUGUAAAGCACUUUAAGCAGGGAGAAAAAGUUAUAAGUUAAUACCUUAUAACCGUGAUGUUACCUGCAGAAUAAGCACCGGCUAAUUCCGUGCCAGCAGCCGCGGUAAUACGGAGGGUGCAAGCGUUAAUCGGAAUUACUGGGCGUAAAGCGCGCGUAGGUGGUUUGUUAAGUUGGAUGUGAAAGCCCUGGGCUCAACCUAGGAACUGCAUCCAAAACUAACUCACUAGAGUACGAUAGAGGGAGGUAGAAUUCAUAGUGUAGCGGUGGAAUGCGUAGAUAUUAUGAAGAAUACCAGUGGCGAAGGCGGCCUCCUGGAUCUGUACUGACACUGAGGUGCGAAAGCGUGGGUAGCGAACAGGAUUAGAUACCCUGGUAGUCCACGCCGUAAACGAUGACAACUAGCUGUUGGGAGACAAUGUCUUUCAGUGGCGCAGCUAACGUUUUAAGUUGUCCGCCUGGGGAGUACGGCCGCAAGGCUAAAACUCAAAUGAAUUGACGGGGACCCGCACAAGCGGUGGAGCAUGUGGUUUAAUUCGAUGCAACGCGAAAAACCUUACCUACUCUUGACAUACUUGGAAGCUCUUGUAAUGAGAGUGUGCCUUUUGGAGCCAAGAUACAGGUGCUGCAUGGCUGUCGUCAGCUCGUGUCGUGAGAUGUUCCGUUAAGUCGGAUAACGAGCGCAACCCUUACCCUUAUUUGCCAGCGAUUCGGUCGGGAACUAUAAGGGGACUGCCGGUGAUAAACCGGAGGAAGGUGAGGACGACGUCAAGUCAUCAUGGCCCUUACGAGUAGGGC
rnacentral:rRNA from 1 species